UACCCAGAAACCACUUGUUUCCUCAUCUAAAAAUCAGCAUGUGUGUAAAGAAUCCGUCUCUCCGGCAUAUAAAGACGCAGAGCCUCAGAGAAGUUAAACGAUUGAUCCUAUGUCAGGGGGUAGAGUCAAGACUCAUACCUAUGCCUUUUAACUUCAAGAUUGGACGACUGAUUAUUGGACAGAAUGGCAUCUUGUCGACACCUGCGGUCUCCUGCAUUAUCAGGAAGAUCAAGGCAGCUGGUGGAAUCAUUCUAACAGCCAGCCACUGCCCUGGAGGACCAGGGGGAGAGUUUGGAGUGAAGUUUAAUGUUGCCAAUGGAGGUCUGGAAUGAAAUGACGAGAGUGACCUUGCUCAAGUUGGACCACUCUGUAUCCAGCCAUCCUCAUGUAUAAAGAGGAGGAAAGGAGAGGCACUUCUGUUACUACCGACCAGUUACUAGGUGUGACAUUGUGCAGGUCACUGCACACACUUAAAGCAACCAGAUGUAUAUCCAUAGUCAUCGGUGUUUUAUAGAACAUAAGAAUAGACUCACAGUCCAUUCCCCUCC
rnacentral:lncRNA from 10 species